rnacentral:rRNA from 1 species
GCGAAAAACACCCACGCCGAAAGACCAAGGGUUCCUGCGCAACGUUAAUCGACGCAGGGUUAGUCGGUUCCUAAGGCGAGGCUGAAAAGCGUAGUCGAUGGGAAACAGGUUAAUAUUCCUGUACUUCUGGUUACUGCGAUGGAGGGACGGAGAAGGCUAGGCCAGCUUGGCGUUGGUUGUCCAAGUUUAAGGUGGUAGGCUGAAAUCUUAGGUAAAUCCGGGGUUUCAAGGCCGAGAGCUGAUGACGAGUCGUCUUUUAGAUGACGAAGUGGUUGAUGCCAUGCUUCCAAGAAAAGCUUCUAAGCUUCAGGUAACCAGGAACCGUACCCCAAACCGACACAGGUGGUCGGGUAGAGAAUACCAAGGCGCUUGAGAGAACUCGGGUGAAGGAACUAGGCAAAAUGGCACCGUAACUUCGGGAGAAGGUGCGCCGGCUAGGGUGAAGGAUUUACUCCGUAAGCUCUGGCUGGUCGAAGAUACCAGGCCGCUGCGACUGUUUAUUAAAAACACAGCACUCUGCAAACACGAAAGUGGACGUAUAGGGUGUGACGCCUCCCCGGUGCCGGAAGGUUAAUUGAUGGGGUUAGCGCAAGCGAAGCUCUUGAUCGAAGCCCCGGUAAACGGCGGCCGUAACAAUAACGGUCCUAAGGUAGCGAAAUUCCUUGUCGGGUAAGUUCCGACCUGCACGAAUGGCGUAACGAUGGCGGCGCUGUCUCCACCCGAGACUCAGUGAAAUUGAAAUCGCUGUGAAGAUGCAGUGUAUCCGCGGCUAGACGGAAAGACCCCGUGAACCUUUACUGUAGCUUUGCACUGGACUUUGAGCCUGCUUGUGUAGGAUAGGUGGGAGGCUUUGAAGCGUGGACGCCAGUUCGCGUGGAGCCAUCCUUGAAAUACCACCCUGGCAUGCUUGAGGUUCUAACUCUGGUCCGUAAUCCGGAUCGAGGACAGUGUAUGGUGGGCAGUUUGACUGGGGCGGUCUCCUCCUAAAGAGUAACGGAGGAGUACGAAGGUGCGCUCAGACCGGUCGGAGAUCGGUCGCAGAGUAUAAAGGCAAAAGCGCGCUUGACUGCGAGACAGACACGUCGAGCAGGGACGAAAGUAGGUCUUAGUGAUCCGGUGGUUCUGUAUGGAAGGGCCAUCGCUCAACGGAUAAAAGGUACUCCGGGGAUAACAGGCUGAUACCGCCCAAGAGUUCAUAUCGACGGCGGUGUUUGGCACCUCGAUGUCGGCUCAUCACAUCCUGGGGCUGAAGCCGGUCCCAAGGGUAUGGCUGUUCGCCAUUUAAAGUGGUACGCGAGCUGGGUUUAGAACGUCGUGAGACAGUUCGGUCCCUAUCUGCCGUGGACGUUUGAGAUUUGAGAGGGGCUGCUCCUAGUACGAGAGGACCGGAGUGGACGAACCUCUGGUGUUCCGGUUGUCACGCCAGUGGCAUUGCCGGGUAGCUAUGUUCGGAAAAGAUAACCGCUGAAAGCAUCUAAGCGGGAAACUUGCCUCAAGAUGAGAUCUCACUGGGAACUUGAUUCCCCUGAAGGGCCGUCGAAGACUACGACGUUGAUAGGCUGGGUGUGUAAGCGUUGUGAGGCGUUGAGCUAACCAGUACU